rnacentral:sRNA from 1 species
UUUUUCCUCUUGCUUU